UACGUAGGGACCAAGCGUUGUUCGGAUUUACUGGGCGUAAAGGGCGCGUAGGCGGCGUGUUAAGUCAGCUGUGAAAUCUCCAAGCUUAACUUGGAACGGUCAGCUGAUACUGAUGUGCUAGAGUGCAGAAGGGGCAACCGGGAUUCUUGGUGUAGCGGUGAAAUGCGUAGAUAUCAAGAGGAACACCUGAGGUGAAGACGGGUUGCUGGGCUGACACUGACGCUGAGGAGCGAAAGCGUGGGGAGCGAACAGG
rnacentral:rRNA from 1 species